rnacentral:rRNA from 1 species
UACGUAGGGGGCAAGCGUUGUCCGGAUUCAUUGGGCGUAAAGAGCGUGUAGGCGGCCAGGUAGGUCGGUUGUGAAAACUGGAGGCUCAACCUUCAGAGGUCGACCGAAACCAUCUGGCUAGAGUCCGGGAGAGGAGAGUGGAAUUCCUGGUGUAGCGGUGAAAUGCGCAGAUAUCAGGAGGAACACCGAUGGCGAAGGCAGGUCUCUGGGCCACUGCUGACGCUGAGAAGCGAAAGCAUGGGGAGCGAACAGG